rnacentral:rRNA from 1 species
UACGUAGGGGGCUAGCGUUGUCCGGAAUCAUUGGGCGUAAAGCGCGCGUAGGCGGCCCGGUAAGUCCGCUGUAAAAGUCCAGGGCUCAACCCUGGAACGCCGGUGGAUACUGUCGGGCUAGAGUACGGAAGAGGCAAGUGGAAUUCCUGGUGUAGCGGUGGAAUGCGCAGAUAUCAGGAGGAACACCAAUAGCGAAGGCAGCUCGCUGGGACGUUACUGACACUGAGGCGCGAAAGCGUGGGGAGCGAACAGG